AACGAACGCUGGCGGCAUGCCUCAUACAUGCAAGUCGAACGAGAUCUUCGGAUCUAGUGGCGCACGGGUGCGUAACGCGUGGGAAUCUACCCUUGGGUUCGGAAUAACAGUUAGAAAUGACUGCUAAUACCGGAUGAUGACGUAAGUCCAAAGAUUUAUCGCCCAAGGAUGAGCCUGCGUAGGAUUAGCUAGUUGGUGAGGUAAAGGCUCACCAAGGCUACGAUCCUUAGCUGGUCUGAGAGGAUGAUCAGCCACACUGGGACUGAGACACGGCCCAGAAUCCGACGGGAGGCAGCAGUAGGGAAUAUUGGACAAUGGGCGAAAGCCUAAUCCAGCAAUGCCGCGUGAGCGAUGAAGGCCUUAGGGUUGUAAAGCUCUUUUACCCGGGAUGAUAAUGACAGUACCGAGAGAAUAAGCCCCGGCUAACUCCGUGCCAGCAGCCGCGGUAAAAC
rnacentral:rRNA from 1 species